rnacentral:rRNA from 1 species
GACGAACGCUGGCGGCGUGCCUAAUACAUGCAAGUCGAACGCAGUGGGGACGGGUGAGUAACACGUGGGUAACCUCCCAUCAGAGGGGAUAACACUUGGAAACAGGUGCUAAACCGAUACUGAUGGAUGGACCCGCGGUGCAUUCGCUAGUUGGUGAGGUAACGGCUCACCAGGGCCACGAUGCAUAGCCGUCCUGCGAGGGUGAUCGGCCACACUGGGACGAAGACACGGCCCAGACUCCUACGGGUGGCAGCAGUGGUGAAUCUUCGGCAUGGGACGAAAGUCUGACCAAGAAAUGCCGCGGGUGGGAAGAAGGUUUUCGGAUCGUAAAACUCUGUUGUUAGAGAAGCGGUAUCUAACCAGAAAGCCACGGCUAACUACGUGCCAGCAGCCGCGGUAAUUC